GUGCUCGCUUCCGCAGCACAUAUACAAAAAUUUGAACAAUACAGAGAUUAGCAUGGGUCCUGCUCAAGGAUGACAUGCAAAUUUGUGAGGGGUUCCAUUUUUUU